UACUUGUACCGACUGGAUGAGCAGCGAACGGGUGAGUAACGCGUGGGGAAUCUGCCUUUGAGCGGGGGACAACAUUUGGAAACGAAUGCUAAUACCGCAUAAAAACUUUAAACACAAGUUUUAAGUUUGAAAGAUGCAAUUGCAUCACUCAAAGAUGAUCCCGCGUUGUAUUAGCUAGUUGGUGAGGUAAAGGCUCACCAAGGCGAUGAUACAUAGCCGACCUGAGAGGGUGAUCGGCCACAUUGGGACUGAGACACGGCCCAAACUCCUACGGGAGGCAGCAGUAGGGAAUCUUCGGCAAUGGACGAAAGUCUGACCGAGCAACGCCGCGUGAGUGAAGAAGGUUUUCGGAUCGUAAAACUCUGUUGGUAGAGAAGAACGUUGGUGAGAGUGGAAAGCUCAUCAAGUGACGGUAACUACCCAGAAAGGGACGGCUAACUACGUGCCAGCAGCCGCGGUAAUACGUAGGUCCCGAGCGUUGUCCGGAUUUAUUGGGCGUAAAGCGAGCGCAGGUGGUUUAUUAAGUCUGGUGUAAAAGGCAGUGGCUCAACCAUUGUAUGCAUUGGAAACUGGUAGACUUGAGUGCAGGAGAGGAGAGUGGAAUUCCAUGGGUUAAGCGG
rnacentral:rRNA from 1 species